ACGGGAGGCCGCAGUUUGUAAUAUUGGACAAUGGGGGAAACCCUGAUCCAGCGACGCCGCGUGAGUGAAGAAGUAUUUCGGUAUGUAAAGCUCUAUCAGCAGGGAAGAUAAUGACGGUACCUGAAUAAGAAGCCCCGGCUAACCACGUGCCAGCAGCCGCGGUAAUACGUAGGGGGCAAGCGUUAUCCGGAUUUACUGGGUGUAAAGGGAGCGUAGACGGCAAGGCAAGUCUGAUGUGAAAACCCGGGGCUCAACCUCGGGACUGCAUUGGAAACUGUCUGGCUAGAGUGCAGGAGAGGUAAGUGGAAUUCCUAGUGUAGCGGUGAAAUGCGUAGAUAUUAGGAGGAACACCAGUGGCGAAGGCGGCUUACUGGACUGUAACUGACGUUGAGGCUCGAAAGCGUGGGUAGCAAACAGGAUUAGAUACCCUGGUA
rnacentral:rRNA from 1 species